rnacentral:rRNA from 1 species
CGCGGCCUAUCAGCUUGUUGGCGGGGUAACGGCCCACCAAGGCAACGACGGGUAGCUGGUUUGAGAGAACGAUCAGCCACACUGGAACUGAGACACGGUCCAGACUUCUACGGAAGGCAGCAGUAGGGAAUCUUGCGCAAUGGGCGAAAGCCUGACGCAGCGACGCCGCGUGCGGGAUGACGGCCCUAGUGGUUGUAAACCGCUUUCAGCAGGGACGAAAAUGACGGUACCUGCAGAAGAAGUCCCGGCUAACUACGUGCCAGCAGCCGCGGUAAUACGUAGGGGACAAGCGUUGUCCGGAUUCAUUGGGCGUAAAGAGCUCGUAGGCGGUUCAGUAAGUUGGGUGUGAAAGCUCCGGGCUCAACCCGGAGAGGCCACUCAAUACUGCUGUGACUAGAGUCCAGUAGAGGAGCGUGGAACUCCUGGUGUAGCGGUGAAAUGCGCAGAUAUCAGGAAGAACACCGGCAGCGAAGGCGGCGCUCUGGGCUGGUACUGACGCUGAGGAGCGAAAGCAUGGAUAGCAAACAGGAUUAGAUACCCUGGUAGUCCAUGCCGUAAACGUUGGGCACUAGGUGUGGGGAGGAAUCAACCCUCUCCGUGCCGUAGCUAACGCAUUAAGUGCCCCGCCUGGGGAGUACGG